rnacentral:rRNA from 1 species
GUUGUAUAGUCAAGUAAUUAAGUGCAUGUGGUGGAUGCCUUGGCAGUCAGAGGCGAUGAAAGACGUGAUAGCCUGCGAAAAGCUCCGGGGAGGCGGCAAAUAUCCUUUGAUCCGGAGAUGUCUGAAUGGGGGAACCCACCUACUUUAAGGUAGGUAUUGCAACAUGAAUACAUAGUGUUGCAAGGCGAACGAGGGGAAGUGAAACAUCUCAGUACCCUUAGGAAAAGAAAUCAAUUGAGAUUCCCUCAGUAGCGGCGAGCGAACGGGGAUCAGCCCAUUAAGUUAUGUGUGUUUUAGUGGAACGCUCUGGGAAGUGCGAACGUAGAGGGUGAUAUUCCCGUACACGAAAGGGCACACAUAAUGAUGACGAGUAGGGCGAGGCACGUGAAACCUUGUCUGAAUAUGGGGGGACCAUCCUCCAAGGCUAAAUACUCCUGACUGACCGAUAGUGAACCAGUACCGUGAGGGAAAGGCGAAAAGAACCCCUGUGAGGGGAGUGAAAUAGAUCCUGAAACCGCAUGCAUACAAGCAGUGGGAGCACCUUCGUGGUGUGACUGCGUACCUUUUGUAUAAUGGGUCAGCGACUUAUAUUCAGUAGCGAGGUUAACCGUAUAGGGGAGCCGUAGAGAAAUCGAGUCUUAAUAGGGCGUUUAGUUGCUGGGUAUAGACCCGAAACCAGGCGAUCUAUCCAUGAGCAGGUUGAAGGUUGGGUAACACUAACUGGAGGACCGAACCCACUGUCGUUGAAAAGCCAGGGGAUGACUUGUGGAUAGGGGUGAAAGGCUAAUCAAGCCUGGUGAUAGCUGGUUCUCCCCGAAAGCUAUUUAGGUAGCGCCUCGGACGAAUACCAUAGGGGGUAGAGCACUGUUUCGGCUAGGGGGUCAUCCCGACUUACCAAACCGAUGCAAACUCCGAAUACCUAUGAGUACUAUCCGGGAGACAGACUGCGGGUGCUAACGUCCGUAGUCAAGAGGAAAACAAUCCAGACCGCCAGCUAAGGCCCCAAAAUCAUAGUUAAGUGGGAAACGAUGUGGGAAGGCAUAGACAGCUAGGAGGUUGGCUUAGAAGCAGCCACCCUUUAAAGAAAGCGUAAUAGCUCACUAGUCGAGUCGGCCUGCGCGGAAGAUGUAACGGGGCUAAAACUAUGUGCCGAAGCUGCGGAUGUAUACUUUGUAUACGUGGUAGGGGAGCGUUCUGUAAGCCGAUGAAGGUGUGUUGAGAAGCAUGCUGGAGGUAUCAGAAGUGCGAAUGCUGACGUGAGUAACGACAAAACGGGUGAAAAACCCGUUCGCCGAAAGNCNANGGNUNCNNNNCNANNNUNANNNGGGNNNGGNNNNNNNNNCCCNNANGNGAGGCCGAAAGGCGUAGUCGAUGGGAAAAUGGUUAAUAUUCCAUUACUUCUGUGUAAUGCGAUGAGAGGACGGAGAAGGCUAAAUCAGCCUGGCGUUGGUUGUCCAGGUGAAAGGAUGUAGGCAUGUAUCUUAGGCAAAUCCGGGGUACUCUAUGCUGAGAUCUGAUAGCAAGCUGUACUUGUACAGCGAAGUGGUUGAUGCCAUGCUUCCAGGAAAAGUCUCUAAGCUUCAGUUACACAGGAAUCGUACCCGAAACCGACACAGGUGGUCAGGUCGAGUAGACCAAGGCGCUUGAGAGAACUCUGCUGAAGGAACUAGGCAAAAUGGUACCGUAACUUCGGGAGAAGGUACGCUGUUGUUGGUGAUGGAACUCGCUUCCUGAGCUGACGACAGCCGCAGAAACCAGGCCGCUGCAACUGUUUAUUAAAAACAUAGCACUCUGCAAACACGAAAGUGGACGUAUAGGGUGUGAUGCCUGCCCGGUGCUGGAAGGUUAAUUGAUGGGGUUAGCGUAAGCGAAGCUCUUGAUCGAAGCCCCAGUAAACGGCGGCCGUAACUAUAACGGUCCUAAGGUAGCGAAAUUCCUUGUCGGGUAAGUUCCGACCUGCACGAAUGGCAUAAUGAUGGCGGCGCUGUCUCCAGCAGAGGCUCAGUGAAAUCGAAAUCGCUGUGAAGAUGCAGUGUACCCGCGGCUAGACGGAAAGACCCCGUGAACCUUUACUGCAGCUUGACACUGAACUUUGACCUUACUUGUGUAGGAUAGGUGGGAGGCUUUGAAGCUGGAACGCUAGUUCCAGUGGAGCCGUCCUUGAAAUACCACCCUGGUAAUGUUGAGGUUCUAACUCUGUCCCGUGAUCCGGGACGAGGACCGUGUCUGGUGGGUAGUUUGACUGGGGCGGUCUCCUCCUAAAGAGUAACGGAGGAGUACGAAGGUGCGCUCAGCGUGGUCGGAAAUCACGCGUAGAGUAUAAAGGCAAAAGCGCGCUUAACUGCGAGACCCACAAGUCGAGCAGGUACGAAAGUAGGUCUUAGUGAUCCGGUGGUUCUGUAUGGAAGGGCCAUCGCUCAACGGAUAAAAGGUACUCUGGGGAUAACAGGCUGAUACCGCCCAAGAGUUCAUAUCGACGGCGGUGUUUGGCACCUCGAUGUCGGCUCAUCUCAUCCUGGGGCUGAAGCAGGUCCCAAGGGUAUGGCUGUUCGCCAUUUAAAGAGGUACGCGAGCUGGGUUUAGAACGUCGUGAGACAGUUCGGUCCCUAUCUACCGUGGGCGCUGGAAAUUUGAGAGGAUCUGCUCCUAGUACGAGAGGACCAGAGUGGACGAACCUCUGGUGUACCGGUUGUGACGCCAGUCGCAUCGCCGGGUAGCUAUGUUCGGAAGGGAUAACCGCUGAAAGCAUCUAAGCGGGAAGCCUACCUCAAGAUAAGAUUUCCCUAGGACUUUAUGUCCUCUAAAGAGCCGUUCGAGACUAGGACGUUGAUAGGUUGGAUGUGGAAGCAUAGUGAUAUGUGAAGCUGACCAAUACUAAUUGCUCGUGAGGCUUGACUAUACAACACCCAAGCAGUUG